rnacentral:lncRNA from 12 species
CUUUAUUUGCCUUGUUCUUUUGUACUGGAAAAUGCAUGAGGGUUGUGAUCAUAUUCAUCUUGUUCAUUAGUGUAUUCCUAAUGGCUAUGAAGUAGAGGGUACUUAAUAUAUACUUGCUGGAUGACUGGCGAUAACUAAUAUUUCUUCAUCAAUUAUUUUGUGCCAGGCAUGGGUGUAGGAACUUUGCACUAGUAGCCUAGUCAGUCCUUUUGUGGUCACUACUGCAGCUGUUCACACUCUCAGCACGAGAUGAUGAUCCAGAGAUGAGGCGCAGAGGUGGGUGAUUUACCGAGGUCAAUGGCUGGUACAUGUGGUGUGUUGGGAUUCACACUCAGGCAGGCUGGCUCCUGUUAAUAAAUAUCUGUUGGCUGAGUAGAAUAAUAUGAAGGUCAUAUAACAGUGGAGAGUCACUUGCUUCUACCUUGGUGGUUAAGCAGGGAGAGAGGGAAGGCCUCAUGAUUUUUAUGCUCCCUUGACAGAAUCAACAAUCUAGAUCAACUCAAAGUUCCGAUCACAGGGGGAAUAUUUGGUCCCAAAGUGACUUAGUAUAUUUCAUACUAUCUACAUGAGGUUUGUUCAGUCAGACCUUGGGAAUUCUUGCCCAAGUAUUGGAGCUGUGCUCCGAACUGUGAGGUCAUAGACCCAUUAGAUUGUAAAUAGUUUGAGGAUAGAAUAAUGAAUGAAUUAGUUCACUUAAUCUUUUUUGAGUCUCUACAGUACAUUGCUAGUGAAGGGAAGUGUGUAUUAUGCAUUUUCUUUCUUUAAUAGUCUAGCAAAGCACUCUGAGAGUACACACAAGAAUAAUACCCUGUAAGUUUAUUAGUGAACAAAUCCAAUGCGGGAGAGUGUCUAGGAAGAGGGAGAAGGUUGGCGGUAGAAGAUGAUGAGUUCAUAUUGUAUAAAGAGUUUAAUGAAUGAUGGAGUGAUCAGUGGCCAACGGCAUCAGUUUUUGCAGGAGGGCUUUGUAAGAAAUGAUUUAUUUUUAUCUUAAAAAACUGUGAAGUAUGAUACACGCACAGAAAUGCACAGAACACAGCAUGUACAAUGCGAUAAGGUAUG